AGCAGCCAUCAUUUAAAGAGUGCGUAAUAGCUCACUAGUCGAGUGGCCCUGCGCCGAAAAUUUACCGGGGCUAAACAAGGUACCGAAGCCACGGAUAGAACCUUUGGUUCUAUGGUAGGAGAGCGUUCUAAUCAGCAUGGAAGCCUGACUGUGAAGACAGGUGGAGCGAUUAGAAGUGAGAAUGCCGGUAUGAGUAGCGAAAGACAGGUGAGAAUCCUGUCCACCGAAUGACUAAGGUUUCCUGGGGAAGGCUCGUCCUCCCAGGGUUAGUCGGGAC
rnacentral:rRNA from 1 species